GAUGAACGCUAGCUACAGGCUUAACACAUGCAAGUCGAGGGGUAACGAGAGGAAAGCUUGCUUUCCUUGUCGACGACCGGCGCACGGGUGAGUAACGCGUAUCCAACCUGCCCCCAACUAGGGAAUAACCUUGCGAAAGUAAGACUAAUACCCUAUAAUUUCCUCAGAUGUCAUCUGACGAGGAAUAAAGAUUUAUCGGUUGUGGAUGGGGAUGCGUCUGAUUAGCUUGUUGGCGGGGUAACGGCCCACCAAGGCAACGAUCAGUAGGGGUUCUGAGGGGAAGGUCCCCCACAUUGGAACUGAGCCACGGUCCAAACUCCUACGGGAGGCAGCAGUGAGGAAUAUUGGUCAAUGGGCGGAAGCCUGAACCAGCCAAGUAGCGUGCAGGAUGACGGCCCUAUGGGUUGUAAACUGCUUUUAUACAGGAAUAAAGUUAGCCACGUGUGGUUAUUUGUAGGUACUGUAUGAAUAAGGACCGGCUAAUUCCGUGCCAGCAGCCGCAGUAA
rnacentral:rRNA from 1 species